rnacentral:tRNA from 1 species
UCUGAUGGGUCAGACGGUAAAGAAUCUGCCUGUAAUGCAGGAGACCUGGGUUAGAUCCCUGCGUCAGGA